CCUUACCAGGUCUUGACAUCCCGAUGCUAUUUCUAGAGAUAGAAAGUACUUCGGUACAUCGGUUGACAGGUGGUGCAUGGUUGUCGUCAGCUCGUGUCGUGAGAUGUUGGGUUAAGUCCCGCAACGAGCGCAACCCCUAUUGUUAGUUGCCAUCAUUCAGUUGGGCACUCUAGCGAGACUGCCGGUAAUAAACCGGAGGAAGUGGGGAUGACGUCAAAUCAUCAUGCCCCUUAUGACCUGGGCUACACACGUGCUACAAUGGUUGGUACAACGAGUUGCGAGUCGGUGACGGCGAGCUAAUCUCUUAAAGCCAAUCUCAGUUCGGAUUGUAGGCUGCAACUCGCCUACAUGAAGUCGGAAUCGCUAGUAAUCGCGGAUCAGCACGCCGCGGUGAAUACGGUUCCCGGGCCUU
rnacentral:rRNA from 1 species